UCAUCUCUACCGAUGGAUGGAA
rnacentral:siRNA from 1 species